GGGCCCGCACAAGCGGUGGAGCAUGUGGUUUAAUUCGAUGAUACGCGAGGAACCUUACCAGGGCUUAAAUGUAGAACGACCGAUUGGAAACAAGUCCUCUCUUUGAGCGGUCUACAAGGUGCUGCAUGGUUGUCGUCAGCUCGUGCCGUGAGGUGUCGGGUUAAGUCCCUUAACGAGCGCAACCCCUAUCUCUAGUUGCCAGCGGAUAAUGCCGGGGACUCUAGAGAAACUGCCCGCGCAAGCGGUGAGGAAGGCGGGGAUGACGUCAAAUCAUCACGGCCCUUACGUCCUGGGCUACACACGUGCUACAAUGGUCGGUACAAAGGGGCAGCUACCACGUAAGUGGAUG
rnacentral:rRNA from 1 species